UACGAGGGGGGCGAGCGUUGUUCGGAAUUAUUGGGCGUAAAGGGUGCGUAGGCGGUUUGGUAAGUCUGAUGUGAAAUCUAUGGGCUCAACUCAUAGUCUGCAUCGGAAACUGCCGGGCUUGAGUAUGGGAGAGGUGAGUGGAAUUCCUGGUGUAGCGGUGAAAUGCGUAGAUAUCAGGAGGAACACCUGUGGCGAAAGCGGCUCACUGGACCGAUAACUGACGCUGAUGCACGAAAAGCUAGGGGAGCAAACAGG
rnacentral:rRNA from 1 species